UGAGAGUUUGAUCCCGGCUCAGAAUCAACGUUGGCGGCGCGCUUAACACAUGCAAGUCGAACGAGAAAGCCGGAGAAAUCUGGUGAGUAAAGUGGCGUACGGGUGAGUAACACGUGGAUCAUCUACCCUCUGGUGGGGAAUAACCCCGGGAAACUGGGGCUAAUACCGCAUAAGUCCGAGAGGAGAAAGGCGAAAGUCGCCGGAGGAAGAGUCCGCGGCCGAUUAGCUAGUUGGCAGGGUAAAGGCCUACCAAGGCGAAGAUCGGUAGCCGGCCUGAGAGGGCACACGGCCACACUGGCACUGAGACACGGGCCAGACUCCUACGGGAGGCAGCAGUGGGGAAUCUUGCACAAUGGGGGAAACCCUGAUGCAGCGACGCCG
rnacentral:rRNA from 1 species